ACCACCGAGUCCCCCGAGGCCCGCCCUCAGCGUGUCUUAUUCCAUUUUGAAGUCCCUGCCAUGCGGCAACACCUCGGUCACCUCACCACGGGCAUCAAGGGAAGUAGAAGGGUCCCGUUCCGCCAGCAGGGAGCGGCAGAGUUGCACUCAGUCAAGCCAUACCUUUCUCAUCCUCCAACGUCCCAGUGGGGGUCAGCCUGACUAGGAAGUCACUUCCUCCCUCGUGCCAGAGCUGGCCUCUCUUGACUGCCUAUUGUCUAAUUCUUCCUGGACACAGCUUCUCUCUGAUGACUACAAAGUUGUAAAUGUCUGAGGUGUGGUUGCAUAGCACCUGUAUUUCCCAAGAUGGCUACACAAAUAAAAGAACCAUGGUGGGAUCCAUGGUCUAGCAGGAAACAAGGUUCAUCUCCUUCUGGAAAACAUGGUACCACUGAGACAGAUCAGCCAUGUCCGUGUGAUGAGAACAGACGGAAUUCCAGCUAUCACAGAGAGAAAGACAGGAAUGAAAGGACUGUUGUGCCAAAGCAGUGACUCCCCAAGGAUAUGCAAACAGCAUCCAGAGCGACGUCGCGAUGAGAGUGCAGAGAUGCCCUGGGUUUGAGGCUGCGCUGGACGCCCCAGGUCUGGGAUAAGGCCCAUAAGUGGAGGAAUGGUUCUGUCAUCUUCACAUCCUUCUCUCGAUGAUUCACAUGUCCAAUGUGCCAGCUGGAGGCCAACAACACAGGAUAACUGGGAGCACCAACACUGCCUCGGAUACUUCCCUGUCAGGGAUGCUCCUCUCACACAGGCUGGUUAGAAAGCCAAGUGCUUGGUCCCGAUUCCUAGAACAGAGCAGCUGACCUUGGCUUCCCCUCCUGACCUGCCCAAGAUACAAGCCAAAAGGUCACAGAGCUCGGCAGUGAACUGGGACGGAGCACAUUGGUGGCCUCGUUCUUCUCUGAGAAUUCCAAACCAUUCAUAUCAGCUACUCAUCUCCUUGCUAUAAUGGAAGACCGGACAAGACCAACUUAAGAAAGGAAGGGUUUAUUUGGGUGGUCUGAGAGUGCAGUCCAGCAUGGUAGAAAAGGUGAACCGGCAUUCUCAGAUUUGACGCUUAGAAAAUCAAACUAUUAAUCAACUCUGAAAAGCUGAAGAUGCCCUGGGUCCUGCAGGAUCAGACGUCUUGAAAACAUGCUCCUCUAAAGUGUGUUGGCUUCUGCCUCCAAUAAAAAGUGAGCUUUCAGAU
rnacentral:lncRNA from 1 species